rnacentral:misc_RNA from 1 species
UUACAGUAUUAGCUUGCAUUAUGUUAUUGGAGUAUAUCAUCAUUGACUCAUGUCUAGUGAACUUUUGGGUUUGAAAGGACAAGUUACACAAUCAAAUUAAGAAAUUUUGAAGAAUGCCACUAAUAGUUGAGAAACAUCUUCUGUAUUGAAAAAAUAUUCUUGUAUAAUUUACGGUUACUAUAGCUUAGCCAUGCAACUGUAUUGAAGGAUACAUAACAAGUGAUAACUGAUGCCAUCAAUAUGGUUAGUCAUAAUGGCUAAUGGAUAUAGUAAUUAGCAAAAAUUGUCAAUUUUGCUUCUUAUCAUUUAGAUAGGAAGAAAAAUACAAUGAUUGUAGAAUUUAGCUUCAAUGACUAGCAAAGUUCUGUUGCAUAACAACAAUAAAACAAGAAGAAAUGCAUCUAGCGUAUUAAGUGACAAUAACAAAUGGAAAGGAAUCAGAACUGCAUCCGAUAAGCUAAAAUCAACCUAUAAAUUAAGGAUAUCAUGCUUACCCAAAUAGAUACAGUUGAUGGUUUCCUUGUAAAUUAUUGUCUGGUGGACCUAAAUACUAGCCACUUAAUUAUGGAUUAUUGUGAGUACAACACAUUAUCCAAAAGUUGCACUUGCAAAAGUCAAGCUAAUUAAUACAGAAGCUCUUGAGAAUUUUUCUUUGGGCUGAAAUUCAGGGUAUAGGACAUCUCUCCCAACCCAAAUAAUGGGCUCUGUAGUUGAUGCAGAAUAUAUUCCUAGAGAUUUUAG